CCGAUUCUCGUCGGCUAGUAUUACUGAAGGUUUUAAACCACGGAAAUACCACUUCAUCAGCAUUGAGGAAAAGAAGUAGUUUUUGCGCCGCACGACAAAUUUCCAUCAGUAUGAAGGUGCUGUCAGCCAUCUUGCUGUUUCCUGCAGCUGCUCUUAUCAGCUUAGCAUCCGAAGAGAAACGUAUUUGGUCACUGACAAUUAAUAACAACCAUACGUGUCUGUUUGGCCAGUACCAAAUACCGAACGGGGUAUGCUUAGACGUCCACCGUCCCUGCGUAAGCUUGUGCUGCAGCGCACCGUCAUCUCAGCUAAUAAUCAAUGGGUGCCCUCUACCGGAUGGCUUUGAUAAAAAAUUUGAUGGCUGGUGGUGUUGGCCCAAUUGCUGUGUUCCAUGACGCCGUUUACCACGGCCAAAAUACAAUCCACGGGGUCUUUAUUACGGAAAUGACGGUUCCUGGAGGUACCGCUAUGAAAACGCAAACUCUGAGUAAAUUUUACGGACCUCAAUAAAGUUUCAUUCUCCCAGAUGUGUC
rnacentral:lncRNA from 1 species